AACGAACGCUGGCGGCGUGCUUAAGACAUGCAAGUCGUGCGAGAAAGCUUCCUUCGGGAAGUGAGUACAGCGGCGCACGGGUGAGUAACGCGUGGGUAAUCUGCCCUUUGGUCUGGGAUAACUCUGGAAACCGGGGCGUAAUACCGGAUAAGACCACGAGGUCUUCGGACUUUGCGGAAAAAGGUGGCCUCUCCUUGGAAGCUAGUGCCAGAGGAUGAGCCCGCGUUCCAUUAGCUUGUUGGUGAGGUAACGGCUCACCAAGGCGACGAUGGAUAGCUGGUCUGAGAGGAUGAUCAGCCACACUGGGACUGAGACACGGCCCAGACUCCUACGGGAGGCAGCAGUCGGGAAUUUUGGGCAAUGGGCGAAAGCCUGACCCAGCAACGCCGCGUGAAGGAUGAAGGCCUUCGGGUCGUAAACUUCUGUCGGAAGGGAAGAAGGGUUUCAUUUCAAAUAGGCUUGGAAUCUGACGGUACCUUCAAAGGAAGCGCCGGCUAACUCCGUG
rnacentral:rRNA from 1 species